UAUUGUAUUAUUGAGAUUAUCUUUUAGGUGGAUACCUGUGGAAAUUCUAGAGCUAAUACAUGUUACAAAUUAUAUGUUCUCGUAAUAUAUAAAGCUUUUAUUUUUACCAAAACAAAGUGUUUCUGCACUAUGGGUGAUUCAUAAUAAUGCUUCAAGAUCGUUUUACAACUGACUAUUCAUUCAAGUUUCUGACCUAUCAGUUAGUCAGUAGUGUAUUGGACUAUUGAGGCAUUGACGGGUAACAGAGAAUUAGGGUUCUGUUCCGGAGAGGGCGCCUGAGAAACAGCUACUACA
rnacentral:rRNA from 1 species